ensembl:lncRNA PPP1R3B-DT PPP1R3B divergent transcript
GAUACCUCUUGCGUUUCUUGCAGAUCCCCUGCCUGCAGCACGUGCUGAUCUCCAAGGGUGAGGCUGGAUGAAGCCAGGGGCUAUGGAAAGGGAGACUGUUUCAGAGGACUUGACACCAUCUUCAGUAAUUUCUCUGGUUCUUGGCAGCUCCAUUUGGCUGCGUCCCUACCCUGCAUAACCCUCCCAGCUAGUCUACUCCAGGGCAGCGUCCAGCUGGUGACCUGAGAGGGCAGUGGCGCACCAGUCUCCAUGAAGGUUGAGCUCCGAUGGCCAACGGCCAUUUCCACCUUGUGGUCUACAACUCUUCAUCCCGACUGCAUGGAGGUUGGUCUCUCUCUUCAGCUGGAUUUAGGCCACCAUCUGAGCCCCCGGGGUACGUUUUGUCUGACCCUGGCGCCAUUCGAACGGUUCUUCUACAGCAUCAGGCGUUCACCUGGCUCCUAGGGCUUUUGUGCUGUAGGCCUAUAUUUCCAGCUACUUUUGGAAAAAAUCUCUCUGGAGGCUCAAUGAGCUUGUCACAUCAGCCUGCCCAGAGUAUCAAGAAAGACUUAAUCAGCAGUGAAUACUCUCCACCAAGCCCUUGACCCAUUGUCAGUCUCUGGCAUCAGAUCCUUUCCAGUAGGGCAAAGUGCAACUGCAGCCAGCUCAUGCCUUCAAGAGAAGGACUGAAGAUCAUUGUGUGCCUAAACCAAUUCUCUUUCCUGCCACCAUGUGAAGAAGGACAUGUUUGCUUCCCCUUCUGCCAUGAAUGGACAGGGUCCUGCUGUGUUGCCCAGGCUGGCCUUGAACUCCUGGCUUCAAACAGUCUUCCCACUUGGGCUCCCAAAGUGCUGGGAUUAAAGGGGCGAGUUACAGCACCAGGACCUGAAAUAACCUGGCAUGCAGUUUUCAGCAACCCUGUGGGGACAGUUUCAAGACAAGAAGGAAUAUGGUGACACCCCUGCUCCCCAUUCACCCUCCGCUAUCAGUAAAAGCUUCCUCAGACCUCACCAGAAGCUGGACAGAUAGAUGCUGGUGCCAAGCUUGUACAGACUGCAGAACCAUGGGCCAAAUAAACCUCUUUUCUUUAUAAA